GAACUCAAUAAUCCCUCUCGUUUCAGUCUUCAAUCCAAAAUAACGAUGCUGCUCUCCGCUAGCGAAUAGGUGUCUCCCUGGCCAUGACGGAAUGUCCUUACACACCUCCAGAACCACAUCUGAAACCCCAAAUAUGUGUAAGUUUCUUAAGGUAGUCAACAAUUUCUUAUACAUUAGCAUUGACAACAUCAUCUUCAUGUUAUUGCAACUUACUCUUUUUCUUUUUGGUGAAUGUCCCAGCAACAUGCUUGCUCUUCAUCUUCAAAAUCACCUUCAAAGUGAGAUGAUUUUGAUGUUAGUGAAAUUGUUUAGGAUAAAAUUCAAUCAGAUAUAAAUGGUGAUGUGUUGCGACUAAAGCAAU
rnacentral:lncRNA from 1 species